rnacentral:rRNA from 1 species
UACGUAGGGUGCAAGCGUUGUCCGGAAUUAUUGGGCGUAAAGAGCUCGUAGGCGGUCUGUCGCGUCUGCUGUGAAAACUCAGGGCUUAACCCUGAGCUUGCAGUGGGUACGGGCAGACUAGAGUGCGGUAGGGGAGACUGGAAUCCCUGGUGUAGCGGUGAAAUGCGCAGAUAUCAGGAGGAACACCGGUGGCGAAGGCGGGUCUCUGGGCCGAUACUGACGCUGGAGGAGCGAAAGCGUGGGAGCGAACAGG